rnacentral:rRNA from 1 species
UUUAUCGGAGAGUUUGAUCCUGGCUCAGGACAAACGCUGGCGGCGUGCCUAAUACAUGCAAGUCGAGCGGACAGAUGGGAGCUUGCUCCCUGAUGUUAGCGGCGGACGGGUGAGUAACACGUGGGUAACCUGCCUGUAAGACUGGGAUAACUCCGGGAAACCGGGGCUAAUACCGGAUGGUUGUCUGAACCGCAUGGUUCAGACAUAAAAGGUGGCUUCGGCUACCACUUACAGAUGGACCCGCGGCGCAUUAGCUAGUUGGUGAGGUAACGGCUCACCAAGGCGACGAUGCGUAGCCGACCUGAGAGGGUGAUCGGC